rnacentral:rRNA from 1 species
GGGGGGAUCUUAGGACCUCCCGCUACAGGGGCGGCCGAUGGCAGAUUAGCUAGUUGGUGGGGUAAAGGCCUACCAAGGCGACGAUCUGUAGCUGGUCUGAGAGGACGACCAGCCACACUGGGACUGAGACACGGCCCAGACUCCUACGGGAGGCAGCAGUGGGGAAUUUUGGACAAUGGGGGAAACCCUGAUCCAGCAAUGCCGCGUGUGUGAAGAAGGCCUUCGGGUUGUAAAGCACUUUUGUCCGGAAAGAAAUCCUCUUCGCUAAUACCGAGGGGGGAUGACGGUACCGGAAGAAUAAGCACCGGCUAACUACGUGCCAGCAGCCGCGGUAAUACGUAGGGUGCAAGCGUUAAUCGGAAUUACUGGGCGUAAAGCGUGCGCAGGCGGUUCGCUAAGACAGAUGUGAAAUCCCCGGGCUUAACCUGGGAACUGCAUUUGUGACUGGCGGG